rnacentral:misc_RNA from 1 species
GAUGAAGAACGUAGCGAAAUGCGAUAACUAGUGUGAAUUGCAGAAUUCAGUGAACCAUCGAGUCUUUGAACGCACAUUGCGGCCGCCGGUAUCCCGGCGGCCACGCCUGGUAUUCCGGGGGGCAUGCCUGUCCGAGCGUCAUUGCUGCCCUCAAGCACGGCUUGUGUGUUGGGCUUCCGUCCCUGGCAACGGGGACGGGCCCAAAAGGCAGUGGCGGCACCAUGUCUGGUCCUCGAGCGUAUGGGGCUUUGUCACCCGCUCCCGUAGGUCCAGCUGGCAGCUAGCCUCGCAACCAAUCUUUUUAACCAGGUUGACCUCGGAUCAGGUAGGGAUACCCGCUGAACUUAAGCAUAUCAAUAAGCGGAGGA